rnacentral:rRNA from 1 species
CAGAACGAACGCUGGCGGCAGGCCUAACACAUGCAAGUCGAGCGCAGUCCUUCGGGACCGAGCGGCGGACGGGUUAGUAACGCGUGGGAACGUACCCAGAUCUACGGAAUAGCCUCGGGAAACUGAGAGUAAUACCGUAUACGCCCUUCGGGGGAAAGAUUUAUCGGAUUUGGAUCGGCCCGCGUUAGAUUAGAUAGUUGGUGAGGUAACGGCUCACCAAGUCUACGAUCUAUAGCUGGUUUUAGAGGAUGAUCAGCAACACUGGGACUGAGACACGGCCCAGACUCCUACGGGAGGCAGCAGUGGGGAAUCUUAGACAGUGGGCGCAAGCCUGAUCUAGCCAUGCCGCGUGUGUGAUGAAGGCCUUAGGGUCGUAAAGCACUUUCGCCAGAGAUGAUAAUGACAGUAUCUGGUAAAGAAACCCCGGCUAACUCCGUGCCAGCAGCCGCGGUAAUACGGAGGGGGUUAGCGUUGUUCGGAAUUACUGGGCGUAAAGCGUACGUAGGCGGAUCAGAAAGUAUGGGGUGAAAUCCCAGGGCUCAACCCUGGAACUGCCUCAUAAACUCCUGGUCUAGAGUUCGAGAGAGGUGAGUGGAAUUCCGAGUGUAGAGGUGAAAUUCGUAGAUAUUCGGAGGAACACCAGUGGCGAAGGCGGCUCACUGGCUCGAUACUGACGCUGAGGUACGAAAGUGUGGGGAGCAAACAGGAUUAGAUAUCCCUGGUAGUCCACACCGUAAACGAUGAAUGCCAGUCGUCGGGUAGCAUGCUAUUCGGUGACACACCUAACGGAUUAAGCAUUCCGCCUGG